CAUUAAUUAGGGGAGCUGGCUCAAGCCAAGUAAUUAGCAUAGCGAAGGGUCGCCAGAUACAUGGAGCAAGGAAUCUGUCCUUACAAAAAAUAUUUUCCGUAACUGAAACUGACGUGCUUCAUUUGCUGCACUGCACAAUCAGAUUAUCAGCAGCUCCCAGGUAUUCAGGCAGCCCUAGGUAUUUGUGAAUGUCUUUGUGAACUGUGAAUGUUUGACAAGGUGGAUACUGUUCUCUCUCAAAGCAGGUAUGCUAGUAGCUAUUUGUUAGCAUCUUUCGAAUGUUUCAAGCGCUGAGACUAGAGGAAGAAAUCCUACCUGAGAACAUCAAUGACCAGCGCUAUGUCAUGUAUGCACACUUGGUGUAAAAGAUAAAUGAGAUACAUGAAGAUACCUAAGAAGCCAACGUGUCUUGCAAGAAUAUGUUUGUUGCUCUUUUAUGCCAUUGGUAAACACGGUUGUUUGGAUCCCAGCUCUGUCUGUGUUGCUGCUUCAUAUUCCUGAUGGGGUGCGCACAGAGAGGGACCCCUGCACCACCCUGCGUGGAGCACAUCCUGCUGAGCGUGAGGUUCCAGCUCAUUUUAUCAGCACAAAGGGAACUAAGCUGCCUUCCUGUCUGAUAACUCAGCACACCAGGAAUAAAAGUCUCCUACCACAAUGGACACAUUCACCUCAUGGGUACCACAAGCCUCCAGAGCCAAAGCCAUUUUGCUACGGUUAUACCCAAGCACAUACAACCAGGAGAGCGGGGAUGCACCGGAGGUUUGUUACGUAUGGACUGGCUGCAUUUAUUUCUGGGAGCAGGCAAUUGCAGGAAGACUGGCCAUAAGAUGAGAUUUUGGGAUGCUGUGAUAGUUUCUGGCUGAGCAUGUAUAACUAAUUUAAUCUUAAAUCAAUUUACAAUAUAAAUAAUGAAGCAGCUGUUAAUGGGCCUCUGGCUGGGCAAGUGUCAAGCCAGACUGCACAACACGGAAAGAAUCAAGAGGAACAACUUGUCUGAUUACAUAAUUUUUUUGUAGAACAUAAAUAAAUUAUUCCCUCUUACUGGCA
rnacentral:lncRNA from 1 species